rnacentral:rRNA from 1 species
CAGUAGCCGCGGUAAUACGAAGGGGGCUAGCGUUGCUCGGAAUUACUGGGCGUAAAGGGAGCGUAGGCGGAUCGUUAAGUUGGGGGUGAAAGCCCGGGGCUCAACCUCGGAACUGCCUUCAAUACUGGCGAUCUUGAGUAUGAGAGAGGUGUGUGGAACUCCGAGUGUAGAGGUGAAAUUCGUAGAUAUUCGGAAGAACACCAGUGGCGAAGGCGACACACUGGCUCAUUACUGACGCUGAGGCUCGAAAGCGUGGGGAGCAAACAGGAUUAGAUACCCCCGUAGUCCCUGUCUCUUAUAC